AUUUUGUACUUAAAAAUGACAUCUUACCACUACAGGCUAGUUCUAGCCUCCAGUGGGGUUCCAUGACAGCUGUGACAUCACCAAAGUAGAGCACGUUUAGAUUUCCUGGAGUGGAAGCUGCCAAGUCUGGACUUUAAUGAGGAGGAGGAAAAGCGCGCACUUUCAGUCAGGAGGAGAAAGGAGAAGACCAAAGUGCUUCUAAGAUGCACUGCUACUGGAAGGUUCCAUUACUGUAGCUACACCGCGUCAGCACAUCCCAGGAGUGUGAAUAUGCAGCAUGCAUACUGAAGAACUUCAGUUACAAGUAACCUUCAUUUCUAAUUGCUGUUCAAUGGAGGGAUUUCUGACAUAUCUGCCAUGUGACACAGAAGUUCCUGAAACAUAUUGAAAUCAUCAGUUUGAACAGAAAGAGCACUAUUGCCUUGUCUGGUGAAGAAGAGGAGGGUACUUCUCCAAUUGCAGUGACUCAUCCCCACAACAUGAUGCCGCACUACAUUACUUCACCGUGUCCAGACCUGUAAUGGUAUCCACCAAAACUGGGAAGCAGAACAUAGGAAAAGAAACCAUGAGGGACAAUCAGUGAACUUUGAAGAUAUAAAUAGAAGGCAAACAACACACACCCUUAUCCUGCCCAUAGGAGUUAAACAGGCAGUGCCUUUACACUCAUCAAAAUGGGAACUCAAUCAGCCUUGGUUGAAACACUGCGGAGGACCUUGGAGAGUUCCAAACCUGCAAGCUCACCUUGGGAUUUAAGAGUCUGGUUGGGUCUCUUCUGUCUCCUGGAUCAGCAUUGGAAAUAAAGGUUCUGUCUUCAG